rnacentral:lncRNA from 1 species
UCGAAUUGAAGAAAACAAGAAGGAGUGAUCAAGAGAAGUUGUCCCUCGUGAUCAAUCCGAAGCGCUACUAACUCUUCUUGACGAUCAAGUAAAUCACAAGGAGGUCCACAUCAUCCUGCGCUCGAGAAAUACGCUGCUUCAGCCCUCGAAUCAAGGAAAACAAAUUAGAGACAAGAAUCAGGGGAUACACAGAGUUGUACUCA